rnacentral:rRNA from 1 species
GACGAAGGAUGCAAGCGUUAUCCGGAUUCAUUGGGUUUAGAGGGAGCGUAGGCGGCCUGAUAAGUCAGUGGUGAAAUCUCUCGGCUUAACCGAGAAAUUGCCAUUGAUACUGUCGGGCUUGAGUACAGUUGCCGUUGGCGGAAUAUGACAUGUAGUGGUGAAAUACAUAGAGAUGUCAUAGAACACCGAUUGCGAAGGCAGCUAACGAAACUGUAACUGUCGCUGAGGCUCGAAAGUGCGGGGAUCAAACAGG